rnacentral:rRNA from 1 species
AGAGUUUGAUCAUGGCUCAGAUUGAACGCUGGCGGCAGGCCUAACACAUGCAAGUCGAGCGGAUGACGGGAGCUUGCUCCUUGAUUCAGCGGCGGACGGGUGAGUAAUGCCUAGGAAUCUGCCUGGUAGUGGGGGACAACGUUUCGAAAGGAACGCUAAUACCGCAUACGUCCUACGGGAGAAAGCAGGGGACCUUCGGGCCUUGCGCUAUCAGAUGAGCCUAGGUCGGAUUAGCUAGUUGGUGGGGUAAUGGCUCACCAAGGCGACGAUCCGUAACUGGUCUGAGAGGAUGAUCAGUCACACUGGAACUGAGACACGGUCCAGACUCCUACGGGAGGCAGCAGUGGGGAAUAUUGGACAAUGGGCGAAAGCCUGAUCCAGCCAUGCCGCGUGUGUGAAGAAGGUCUUCGGAUUGUAAAGCACUUUAAGUUGGGAGGAAGGGCAGUAAGCUAAUACCUUGCUGUUUUGACGUUACCGACAGAAUAAGCACCGGCUAACUCUGUGCCAGCAGCCGCGGUAAUACAGAGGGUGCAAGCGUUAAUCGGAAUUACUGGGCGUAAAGCGCGCGUAGGUGGUUCGUUAAGUUGGAUGUGAAAGCCCCGGGCUCAACCUGGGAACUGCAUCCAAAACUGGCGAGCUAGAGUACGGUAGAGGGUGGUGGAAUUUCCUGUGUAGCGGUGAAAUGCGUAGAUAUAGGAAGGAACACCAGUGGCAAAGGCGACCACCUGGACUGAUACUGACACUGAGUGCGAAAGCGUGGGGAGCAAACAGGAUUAGAUACCCUGGUAGUCCACGCCCUAACGAAGUCCACUA